UACGGAGGAUCCGAGCGUUAUCCGGAAUCAUUGGGUUUAAAGGGUCCGUAGGCGGAUAGGUAAGUCAGUGGUGAAAUCCGGCAGCUCAACUGUCGCACUGCCAUUGAUACUGUCUAUCUUGAAUUACUGUGAAGUGGUUAGAAUAUGUAGUGUAGCGGUGAAAUGCUUAGAUAUUACAUGGAAUACCAAUUGCGAAGGCAGAUCACUAACAGUAUAUUGACGCUGAGGGACGAAAGCGUGGGGAGCGAACAGG
rnacentral:misc_RNA from 1 species